UCUGUUGUUCCUUAAACAUAAAAAGUGGCUGAGGAUGAGUCUGACACAUGUGAAGGCAGAAUUAAUGCUAAAUAGUAAAACAGCAUUCUUUUCCAAUCUUCACAAGACCAUUAAAAAAUCCACAGUAACCUGUAAAAAAUGUGACUAAAAUAAUCAUGAUCUGCUUUAAUUUGGUUACCCAUCCUCAUCAUUCUUUAUGUUUCAGGUCAAAUGAAAAGCCAAUCACAGAAGACAUUUUCCUGCCCUCACCUGUAAGCUUCAUCUAAAGACAUGUCCAUCCUCUUCAUGAUGUAGGCGAUAGCGAUGGUGGCGGAGCGGGAGAUCCCAGCUAAACAGUGCACUAGAACACAUCCAUUGGAGGCUUUUGCUUUCUCUGUAUAAGUCAAAUGCAAGAAAGGUCACUACUAACUAUUUUGUUCAGCAGUGAAAUCUUGUUUCCAUUUACUUACUCAGUGUCUUCCACCUGAAAACCUCUACGCAAAUCUCAUCUGUGUAUAUCAUAUUUAUCCUCGCAAUAUUCUUUUGAGGAGGCAGGGGAAGAUAAUUCCCUCACCACUGACAUGCAGGAC
rnacentral:lncRNA from 1 species